GGCUGUCACUUUUUCAGCCGGGUCCUUUCCAAGUUCCUCCCGCCGCCGUCGCCGUCACCGCCGACCUCCUCCGCUCCUCCCUUCGCCGCCGCGCCUCCCUCUCCGUCCUCCUCCUAGACAGGUGCUGCUAUCUGGCACCACUCUCGCCGAUUGGACCCACUUCUAGCGACCCGCCCAGCUCGACAAGUAGGCAAUGAGCACAGCCGUGGAUGCUUCAGUGCCUGUCGCCGAGCAGGAGGAUGGUACUGCGAAUAUCUUGGGUGGGAAGAAAGUUGCAGUUGUAUUUGUUCUAGGUGGUCCUGGAAGUGGAAAAGGUACACAAUGUAGCAAUAUUGUGGAGCAUUUCGGAUUUACACAUCUUAGUGCUGGAGAGCUGUUGCGCUCAGAAAUCAAGUCUGGUUCUGACAAUGGAACCAUGAUUGACAGCAUUAUAAAGGAAGGGAAAAUUGUUCCAUCUGAGAUAACCGUAAAGCUCCUACAAGAAGCUAUGAUAAAAAGUGAAAAUGACAAAUUCCUCAUUGAUGGAUUUCCAAGGAAUCAAGAAAACCGUCUGUCAUUUGAGAAUGUUAUAAAAAUAUCUCCUGAGUUUGUGCUAUUCUUUGACUGUUCUGAGGAAGAGAUGGUAAGGCGUCUUCUGGGUCGCAAUCAGGGAAGAGCUGACGAUAACAUUGAGACUAUCAGGAAAAGAUUCAGAGUUUUUGAAGAAUCAAGUUUGCCUGUAGUUCAGUACUAUGACUCUAAGGGCAAGGUUAAGAAGAUUAAUGCUGCAAAACCAAUCCCUGAGGUGUUUGAAGAUGUGAAAACCAUUUUUCAGCCAUAUGGCCCAAAGGCCGCAUAGAUGCGCUCAUGCGAAAAAUAUGUGGUUCACUAAAACGGCCGCAUAGAUGCGCUCAUGCGAAAAAUAUGUGGUUCACUAAAACGGUGACCCCAGAAGUGCCGAAGGAGCUCACGGCGCGCUACCCUGCCAGCAUGCCACUAGAUAGUCGUUCAUCAUCUGAUUUAUAAGUAUUCCUGAUCUUUAUUAGUGAGUAGAGGGGAACUGGAGCACAUAUCAGUUUACCUGUGUGCCCACCUCGCUGCCGCAACCUACCGUCCCAUUCGGUGCUGUCGUCAAGUUAUGUAGUCUUUAUUAUGGACAUGGUUAAUGAUAUCUUGUCAAGAAAAAAGAUUGCAGUUGAUUAUUCAGCCACAUCACUUGUCGUUUGUAGUUCAGUAGCAAUUCUUGUUGGCCUUCGGGAAAAGAUGAGAAAAGGCUUAAGCCAUAUGCAUUA